GGUAGUAUAUUUUUUUCAUAACAAAAAAAAGUCUAUUGAUGUUACAUUUAGUCAAAAAAUGGAGUCUAGUAACUUUUACUUUUCAUGGCAUGAUAAGAGAAGUGUAGGAAAAAUGCUGUGAAUUGGUCGAAGUAGUUAUAUACUCACACUAGCGGAUCGAAAAGCUUAGCAAGGUCCGGAGAAAAAGAGUUGGAACGACAAGGACGUCCAGUUGGUAGAGAGGAGUUGUGGACCUUAACGCACAAAUGAUCCAAUGGCUCCUGUCUCCAUGAUGCAGCUCGGGCUAUUGGUGAAAGAAUUGCGAAGAUUGAGCAACAUGAUGAAUCAUCUAGACUGUUGUCUUAGAAUGAUUUGCUUGCUCAAGCUCUUAGAAAGGAACACCCGAGUAGAGUACGUGGC